rnacentral:rRNA from 1 species
GCAUAUCAAUAAGCGGAGGAAAAGAAACUAACAAGGAUUCCCCUAGUAACGGCGAGUGAAGAGGGAAAAGCCCAAGUUUGAAAGCUGGCACCUUCGGUGUCCGCAUUGUAAACUCGAGAAGCGUUAUCCGCGCCGGACCAGACUUUUUAAGUCCAUUGGAAUAUGGUACCAUAGAGGGUGAUAGUCCCUUUCAUGGUCUGGAACCCCCGGAGCUUUGUGAUGCGCUCUCCAAGAGUCGAGUUGUUUGGGAAUGCAGCUCAAAAUGGGUGGUAAAUGCCAUCUAAGGCUAAAUAUAGAGGAGAGACCGAUAGCGAACAAGUACCGUGAGGGAAAGAUGAAAAGAACUUUGGAAAGAGAGUUAAACAGUACGUGAAAUUGCCGGAAGGGAAGGACAGGGAGUCAGUUAUGGACCUUGCGGAUUCAGCUUGACCUUUCGAGGUUGGGUCUAUGUCUGCUUGGACCAGGCCAGCAUCGAUUUUGGCUGCCGGAUAUUAGUAGGGGGAACGUAGCAUUUUCUUCGGAACAAUGUGUUUAUAGACCUUUGCUUGGUACGGCGGCUGGGAUCGAGGAACGCAGUGCACCCUUCGGGGCGGGCCUUCGGGCACCUUUGCACAUAGGAUGUUGGCUUAAUGGCUCUCUAUCACCCGUCUUGAAACACGGACCA